UACGUAGGGUGCGAGCGUUGUCCGGAAUUACUGGGCGUAAAGAGCUCGUAGGCGGUCUGUCGCGUCGGCUGUGAAAACCCGAGGCUCAACCUCGGGCCUGCAGCCGAUACGGGCAGACUAGAGUUCGGCAGGGGAGACUGGAAUCCCUGGUGUAGCGGUGAAAUGCGCAGAUAUCAGGAGGAACACCGGUGGCGAAGGCGGGUCUCUGGGCCGAUACUGACGCUGAGGAGCGAAAGCGUGGGGAGCGAACAGG
rnacentral:rRNA from 1 species